GUGCUCACUUUGGCAGUACAUAUACUAAAAUUGGAAUGAUACAGAGAUUAGCAUGGCCUCUGAGCAAGGAUGACAUGCAAAUUCAUGAAGUAUUCCAUAUAAAA
ensembl:snRNA U6 U6 spliceosomal RNA